AUUGAACGCUGGCGGCAGGCCUAACACAUGCAAGUCGAGCGGAUGAAGGGAGCUUGCUCCUGGAUUCAGCGGCGGACGGGUGAGUAAUGCCUAGGAAUCUGCCUGGUAGUGAGGGAUAACGUCCGGAAACGGGCGCUAAUACCGCAUACGUCCUGAGGGAGAAAGUGGGGGAUCUUCGGACCUCACGCUAUCAGAUGAGCCUAGGUCGGAUUAGCUAGUUGGUGGGGUAAAGGCCUACCAAGGCGACGAUCCGUAACUGGUCUGAGAGGAUGAUCAGUCACACUGGAACUGAGACACGGUCCAGACUCCUACGGGAGGCAGCAGUGGGGAAUAUUGGACAAUGGGCGAAAGCCUGAUCCAGCCAUGCCGCGUGUGUGAAGAAGGUCUUCGGAUUGUAAAGCACUUUAAGUUGGGAGGAAGGGCAGUAAGUUAAUACCUUGCUGUUUUGACGUUACCAACAGAAUAAGCACCGGCUAACUUCGUG
rnacentral:rRNA from 1 species